GAUGAACGCUGGCGGCGUGCCUAAUACAUGCAAGUCGAGCGAACGGACGAGAAGCUUGCUUCUCUGAUGUUAGCGGCGGACGGGUGAGUAACACGUGGAUAACCUACCUAUAAGACUGGGAUAACUUCGGGAAACCGGAGCUAAUACCGGAUGAUAUUUUGAACCGCAUGGUUCAAAAGUGAAAGACGGUCUUGCUGUCACUUAUAGAUGGAUCCGCGCUACAUUAGCUAGUUGGUAAGGUAACGGCUUACCAAGGCAACGAUGCAUAGCCGACCUGAGAGGGUGAUCGGCCACACUGGAACUGGGACACGGUCCAGACUCCUACGGGAGGCAGCAGUAGGGAAUCUUCCGCAAUGGGCGAAAGCCUGACGGAGCAACGCCGCGUGAGUGAUGAAGGUCUUCGGAUCGUAAAACUCUGUUAUUAGGGAAGAACAUAUGUGUAAGUAACUGUGCACAUCUUGACGGUACCUAAUCAGAAAGCCACGGCUAACUACGUG
rnacentral:rRNA from 1 species